AAAUGGGUGGGCUUUCAUGCGCAGUCUAGGUGGGAGGCGUUGAAGGUUUCUUUUGGGUUUUUAGACCCUCAGUGAGAGACCACUCUGGAAGAGCUAGAAACUCUAAUGGUGUUCCUUGAUCAGGACACUUGACAGUUUCAGGUGGGGAGUUUGUUUGGGGCGAACACCUCAUAAAAGGUAACUGAGGCGUGCAAAGGUUCUCUCAGUCUGGACGGAAAUCAGAUGUUGAGUGCAAAUGCAAAAGGGAGCUUGACUGCAAGACCUACAAGUCGAGCAGGUGCGAAAGCAGGCGUUAGUGAUCCGACGGUUCGGCGUGGAACGGCCGUCGCUCAACGGAUAAAAGUUACUCUAGGGAAACCAGGGCUGA
rnacentral:rRNA from 1 species